GAUGAACGCUGGCGGCGUGCCUAAUACAUGCCAGUCGAGCGAACAGACGAGGAGCUUGCUCCUCUGACGUUAGCGGCGGACGGGUGAGUAACACGUGGAUAACCUACCUAUAAGACUGGGAUAACUUCGGGAAACCGGAGCUAAUACCGGAUAAUAUAUUGAACCGCAUGGUUCAAUAGUGAAAGACGGUUUUGCUGUCACUUAUAGAUGGAUCCGCGCCGCAUUAGCUAGUUGGUAAGGUAACGGCUUACCAAGGCAACGAUGCGUAGCCGACCUGAGAGGGUGAUCGGCCACACUGGAACUGAGACACGGUCCAGACUCCUACGGGAGGCAGCAGUAGGGAAUCUUCCGCAAUGGGCGAAAGCUUGACGGAGCAACGCCGCGUGAGUGAUGAAGGUCUUCGGAUCGUAAAACUCUGUUAUUAGGGAAGAACAAAUGUGUAAGUAACUAUGCACGUCUUGACGGUACCUAAUCAGAAAGCAACGGCUAACUACGUG
rnacentral:rRNA from 1 species